UACCAGCACCCCGAGUGGUCGGGACGUUUAUUGGGCCUAAAGCAUCCGUAGCCGGUUCUACAAGUCUUCCGUUAAAUCCACCUGCUUAACAGAUGGGCUGCGGAAGAUACUAUGGAGCUAGGAGGCGGGAGAGGCAAGCGGUACUCGAUGGGUAGGGGUAAAAUCCGUUGAUCCAUUGAAGACCACCAGUGGCAAAGGCGGCUUGCCAGAACGCGCUCGACGGUGAGGGAUGAAAGCUGGGGGAGCAAACCGG
rnacentral:rRNA from 1 species